CGCUCCCUCACGGGCACCCCCGCGGGCCGUGGCGCGGAGAGGGGAACAGCCCAUUCCCUGCCCGCCCCGCUCGGCCUCCCCGCCAGCGUGGGGCGCGCCACCGCCCCCCGCUUUCCGCCCCGUCCCUGCAGCUGAGUUGCACAGUGAAGCUGCCACUACAAUUAUCCUUUAAAAGUAAUUGUAAAGAUAGAGCAUUUACAAAACUGCUGGUCUGUAGUGCUACUACAGCUCACAGCACGUUGAAGGUUACUGCAGAGCUGCCUGCAUAUGCAUGUUGUCAUCUAGUGAGGCUCCAUAGCUGCAGGCUGGAGAAUUUCUACACUAAUACUUCACUUGAUCGUAAAGAAAAGAAAAAGGCGACAGAAGGUGUGAGAAUCAAGCUCUUGAGUCUAUGUUUGAAGUUCCCUUCACCUACUAAACAGCAACAAAAGUGUAUCAUCGAUGCGCAUUAGCCAGCCCUACGCCAGCUCUGCUCUGUCUCUACUUACAACAACUACCUCUGGAGACCAUGUGGACAACUAUCUGACAAGCUGCUGAGCUGCUGACAACCAGCAACCAAAGACAGGGAGGUGCCACCAGUGACAGUCACAACCUUUUUCACUUUGAAGCAAGCUUUGGUUAGGUAAGAGGCUGCUGCAGCUCUGGGUGGACCCUGGACAGGCUUCAGCAUGACUAAGACCAUUUUCUUGGAAGCUUCACUGCCAGUGAUGGUCAUUUCAGGUCUACAACACAAUCCUUGUGCCAUCUAGUCUGAUCUGGCCAAACCUGUGAGUACCUAUAUGUGAAACCACUCAGAAUUAAUAUCUAAAGAAGAAAUUACACAAUUCUUUGUUUCCUCUCUUCUGCUUGGCCAUUAGGGUGUCACUGCAGUUGUCACUCAGUCCAGCCAAGCCCAUGUGGCUGUAUAAACACCAAUACACAUGGAACAUCUCAUUUGAAUUCAAAGUGAUAAAUAGAAGUUGACAGCAGUUCACAAAUGACACUGAGUAGUUAAAAUGCAGAUGGAUUAUUAGAGACCAGGAGGAAACAAUUGUUUUCUUCAGUUUAACCUCAAACCUCAGCAAACAAUCCAGGAUGUCACACAGGAAAAUCCCAUCAUGAGUCAUGUCCCAUAUAUCAUUAUCCCAUGCUAUAGCUGUCCAGAAUGCUGUGCAGCUUUGUCGAACAAGAAGUAGACUGUGGAUUCAGUGAUUCAAAAAGCAGAAGCUUUAGCCAGAACACACAAAAUUUGUCAGUGCUAUUUUUCUCUGCAGUUAUUCUGCAUUAAUCAUAGUAUAGAAACUUAUCAUAGAAAAUAAAACCAUAAAUUUUUAUGAAGAAAUAUAAUCUUUCUUACAGUGGGUUUCAUAAAGUUCCUAGUAUAUUCCAGAAAUCAGUUAGACAACUUCCCUUUUGACUUCAUGUCAUUCGUCAGUUGUGUUCACCAGGACUCAUUUUUUACAGCAAUCAAUCAGCAAAUUUGUCGAGUGGUAUUACAGCAAUCUGCCCAUGGUUGUGUUAGGUUGUUCAUGUCUGGAAAAGAUGGAGCUUUCCAUAACUGCACUAACAGCAGGCAAUAAUUUCUGUUUGCUACUUUGAACUAUACACUACUUGUCUUUGUGCGAGACACAAAAAUCUAUUUUCCUAUUUUUAUUUCUAUUUCUAGAAAGCUUCCACAUUGCUUUUUGUGUUGGGUUUGCGUGGCAAGGUUUUGGUAGCGGGGGGGCUACAGGGGUGGCUUCUGUGAGAAGCUGCUAGAAGCUCCCCCUGUGUCUGACAGAGCCAAUGCCAGCCGGCUCUCAGACGGGCCCGCCGCUGGCCAAGGCCAAGCCAAUCAGCGCCUCUGUGAUAACAUAUUUAAGAAGAAGAAAAACACUUAGAGAGAGAGAGCUUUUGCAGCCGGAGAGAGGAGUGAGAAGAUGUAAGAAACUCUGCAGACACCAAGGUCAGUGCAGAAGGAGGGGGAGAAGGUGCUCCAGGCGCCGGAGCAGAGAUCCCCCUGCAGCCUGUGGUGAAGACCAUGGUGAAGCACGCUGUCCCCCUGCAGCCCGUGGAGGAAGGAUGAGGGGGUGUAGAGAUUCCACCUGCAGCCCGUGGAGGACCCCACGCCGGAGCAGGUGGAGGCACCCGAAGGAGGCUGCGUCCCGUGGGAAGCCCACGCUGGAGCAAGCUCCUGGCCGGACUGGUGGACCCGUGAAGAGGGGAGCCCACACCAGGGCAGGUUUGCUGGCAGGACUUGUGACCCCGUGGGGGACCCCACGCUGGAGCAGUCUGCUCCUGAAGGUCUGCACCCCGUGAGAGGGACUCCAUGCUGGAGCAGGGGAACGAUGAGAGGAGUCCUCCCCCUGAGGAUGAAGAAGCGGCAGAAACACCGUGUGAUGAACUGACCGUAACCCCCAUUCCCCAUCCCCCUGUGCCGCUGAGGGGGGGAAGGUUGAAGCCGGGAGUGAAGUUGAGCCCGGGAAGAUGGGAGGGGUUGGGGGAAGUGUUUUAAGAGUUGAUUUUAUUUUCUCAUUCCUCUACUCUGUUUUGCCUAGUAAUAAAUUAGAUGAAUUCCCU